GACGAACGCUGGCGGCGUGCUUAACACAUGCAAGUCGAGCGGUUCUUAAGCUGUAGUUUACUAUAGCUUAAGAAUAGCGGCGAACGGGUGAGUAACACGUGGGCAACCUGUCCGAAAGAUCGGGAUAACAGUCCGAAAGGGCUGCUAAUACCGAAUAUGCUUACCGGGUCGCAUGACCCGGUAAGGAAAGGUAGGCAACUUCUGCUUUCGGGUAGGCCCGCGUCCCAUUAGCUAGUUGGUAGGGUAACGGCCUACCAAGGCAACGAUGGGUAGCUGGUCUGAGAGGAUGGUCAGCCACACUGGGACUGAGACACGGCCCAGACUCCUACGGGAGGCAGCAGUGGGGAAUCUUGCGCAAUGGGCGAAAGCCUGACGCAGCGACGCCGCGUGAGCGAUGAAGGCCUUCGGGUUGUAAAGCUCUGUCAGAGGGGACGAUAAUGACGGUACCCUCAGAGGAAGCCCCGGCUAACUACGUGCCAGCAGCCGCGGUAAGACGUAGGGGGCGAGCGUUGUCCGGAAUUACUGGGCGUAAAGGGCGUGUAGGCGGCUUUGCAAGUCAGUGGUGAAACACCUGGGCUCAACUCAGGUAUUGCCGUUGAAACUGCAUCGCUUGAGGGUAGAAGAGGAGUGUGGAAUUCCCGGUGUAGCGGUGAAAUGCGUAGAGAUCGGGAGGAACACCAGUGGCGAAGGCGGCACUCUGGUCUACCCCUGACGCUAAGGCGCGAAAGCUAGGGGAGCAAACAGG
rnacentral:rRNA from 1 species